rnacentral:rRNA from 1 species
AUUGAACGCUGGCGGCAGGCCUAACACAUGCAAGUCGAGCGAGCGGCGGACGGGUGAGGAAUGUAUGGGGACUGCCCGCUAGAGGGGGAUAACUAAUGGAAACGGUAGCUAAUACCGCAUACUAUCGGAUAACCCAUAUGGGAUUAGCUAGUAGGUGGGGUAAUGGCUCACCUAGGCGACGAGCCCUAGGCGGCCUGGGAGGAUGAUCGGCCACACUGGGACGGGGACACGGCCCAGAGUACUACGGAGGCAGCAGUGGGGAAUAUGGCACAAUGGGCGCAAGCCUGAUGCAGCCAUGCCGCGUGUAUGAAGAAGGCCCUAGGGUUGUAAAGUACUUUCAGUCGGGAGGCGGUACCGACAGAAGAAGCACCGGCUAACUCCGUGCCAGCAGCCGCGGUAAUUC